AGUGAACGCUGGCGGUAGGCCUAACACAUGCAAGUCGAACGGCAGCACAGUAAGAGCUUGCUCUUACGGGUGGCGAGUGGCGGACGGGUGAGGAAUACAUCGGAAUCUACUUUUUCGUGGGGGAUAACGUAGGGAAACUUACGCUAAUACCUCAUACGACCUACGGGUGAAAGCAGGGGAUCUUCGGACCUUGCGCGAUAGAAUGAGCCGAUGUCGGAUUAGCUAGUUGGCUGGGUAAAGGCCCACCAAGGCGACGAUCCGUAGCUGGUCUGAGAGGAUGAUCAGCCACACUGGAACUGAGACACGGUCCAGACUCCUACGGGAGGCAGCAGUGGGGAAUAUUGGACAAUGGGCGCAAGCCUGAUCCAGCCACACCGCGUGGGUGAAGAAGGCCUUCGGGUUGUAAAGCCCUUUUGUUGGGAAAGAAAAGCAGCAGGUUAAUACCCCGCUGUUCUGACGGUACCCAAAGAAUAAGCACCGGCUAACUUCGUG
rnacentral:rRNA from 1 species